rnacentral:rRNA from 1 species
AUUGAACGCUGGCGGAAUGCUUUACACAUGCAAGUCGAACGGCAGCACGGACUUCGGUCUGGUGGCGAGUGGCGAACGGGUGAGUAAUACAUCGGAACGUGCCCAAUCGUGGGGGAUAACGUAGCGAAAGCUACGCUAAUACCGCAUACGAUCUAAGGAUGAAAGCGGGGGAUCGCAAGACCUCGCGCGAUUGGAGCGGCCGAUGGCAGAUUAGGUAGUUGGUAGGGUAAAGGCCUACCAAGCCGACGAUCUGUAGCUGGUCUGAGAGGAUGAUCAGCCACACUGGGACUGAGACACGGCCCAGACUCCUCCGGGAGGCAGCAGUGGGGAAUUUUGGGCAAUGGAAGCAAGUCGGGUCCAGCCAUUCCGCGUGCAGGAUGAAGGCCCUCGGGUUGUAAACUGCUUUUGUACAGAACGAAAAGGCUCUGGUUAAUACCUAGGGCUCAUGACGGUACUGUAAGAAUAAGCACCGGCUAACUACGUGCCAGCCGCCGCGGUAA